CUUCAGAAAUCAUUCUAUAUAUACAUUUUAUGUUUUAAAUUUUUUUUAAUUUUUUUUUCUUAUAGAAAUUGUUUCACAUUCUCACCUGGCACAUAUUGAUGGGACUGUUUUUAUAUUUCCAGAAGUAAGAAAAUCAUAUGGGUUUGGGACGACACGGCGAAUUUAUACAAUAAAAUCCAUGCAGGUUUUAUUCUGUCGGGCUGUUUCAGAAGAGAGGCUGCGCCGUAUGUGAGAGACGCCCAGCAGAGAACAGAAGAACAGCCGGAGCACCUCUUAAAAAGGCACACUUUCAUGUUCUGUUUGAGAGACUUUAAAAGGACAUUCCUGACAAACAUUUUCUAUUUUUAUAUUGCUGUAGGAUCAGGUAAGUUGAAGGCAAGUUUUCAGAUAAGGGUAGAAAAUGUAGUACAUUAACACUUGCCUGUUUUAAUUACAGUUUACACAGUGUUAUGAGUGUUUUAUGUUUUAUGUUUUUUUUUUUUUUUUUUUACUUAUGUCAGCAUGUUUAGGCCCAGAAGGGAUCUUUGAUUUAUACCUCUUCUCUGCAGACUAGUAGGUACAUUAGUGACAUUGAUAAUGUACACUUUGUAUAGACGGUCAGAUGAUCUUGCUUUCACUGAAGCACAGUAAAGCAAAAGAUAUACCAAAUACUAACUUUUCACUCAAAUUGUUCUGCUGAUCAUGUGAUUUUCAUAAAAUAAUGUUUUGGAAAAAGCAAGUUAGAAGCAUUGUGUCACAGACUUGACCCCACCGUAUGUGACAGCUUUAACCCAGCUGUGUUAGAACCACUGCAUGGUCUGGUUUGAAGAUGUUUCAUGUCUUAUGUCUUUGGGAUGACCUGCUGUUUUCGGUCCUAUCAGAGUUCUUACAUCUCUUCGGUUUCUCUCUGGCAGCAGAGGACAGAGGAGAAGAUCAAAAUGCCUUUGAUGUGUUGCCCACUGCAAGCGAUACAGGGAUGUGGAAUAUGAUUUCUAAAAAAUGUAACAUCUUGAUUAAAAAGUAACAUCUGUUGAAAUUCACAGCAAGGAGUGGUAUGUUUUUGAACUGAUUUGUUUUGAUGUGAAAUAUAAUAAAUAAAUUGUUCGUGGAAUUAUUAUUUUCUUUAUUUGGCACUUUGAUACAUCUGUGUGGUUGUGUGUGUGUGUGUGUGUGUGUGUGUUAGGGAUGGUUUAGUUUGAGUAACUAAAAAGAAAGUCGGCUCAAAAGAGUUAUUCAUUCAGGAGUCUUAAAAAGAGCUAUUUGUUCAGGAGUCAGACUAGACUAUACUGUAAUAGGCUGUAGUUUUUGAUCUACUAAAAAGAACCAACUCAAAAUAGGGAUUUGUUUGGGAGUCUACAUUGAGACUACACUGGUCGUGCUGAAUUUCAAUUCAUUAAAAAGAACUGUCAUAAGAACAAUUUGUUCAGGAGUUACGCUAUAUGUUUUCGAGUCACUAAAAAGAACAGGUGUCACGAGAAAUCAAGUCCCCCGCAGGAAUAGGGUUGGUAAUGUGUGAUAAAAAGUUAUCAUGAUGUCUUGACUAAUUAUAACAUAUUACACUAUUAUUACAUUAAGUGAACAAACGACAUGAUUGAAAUAUAAAAUUAAUAGGUAUUGCACAAUAAAACAAAAUGGAAACAGAUUUUGGAAGCAAAAAAACAACAACAUAUACCUAAUACAUAAGCUAAGCUAGCAGGCUAAUCGGGUAGAUGUGCUAUGCUAGUACAUAAGCUAACUAAAAAACAGUAAGAAUAGAAAUGCUUGAUUUCACAACCUAUGGUUGUUUUAUAUACUAGUAUAUGAACAAUGUAAUUUAAAAGACAUUAACGCAUUUUAAACUAUAUAAACCAUAAUGUUAUUUUGCAGGAAUUAUAAUCAGGAGUUAAAAAUAUACCCAUUAAAAGCCUGUUGAACCAAUGGGAUCACUCGGGGUACUAAAUUAGACCCAAUUCCUUGGGGGGGGACUCGAUUUCUCACCACACGGGCUCAAAAGAGUUAAUUAUUCAUAUAUAAUGAAUAUAUAAUUAUGAUUGCACUGUGUCUUUUUGAUAACAGAAUCAAAAGAGGGAUUCGUUCAGGAGUCAGACUACACUGGUCUAGCUGUAUUUUGAUUCAAUAAAAAGAACUAUUGGAUGCGUUCAUUAUCUACUAGGCCUACUAAAAAGAUCUGGCUCAAAAGAGUGAUUCAUUCGGGAGUUUUUGAUCCACACAGAAACGCCUCAAAAGAGUGAUUGUGCUGUACUGUAUAUUUUCAGUAAACUAUGUUAAGAGCAUUUUAG